rnacentral:rRNA from 1 species
AUGUGGUUCGGUGCUCGUGUAGGUGCAGUUUGUGGGCACACCGCAAUGUCGGCAGCAACGCCUGGGUCUCCACCUCUCCAGCCGUCUCACUUCCCUCCUCUCCUUGUUCCUAUGGUGGCGACCACUCCUUGCAGUUCAGAAAAAGUUUUUUCUUCAAAUUUGGCCGUCGAUGCAGUUCGACAGGAGUACAUCUCAGCCCGUGCAGUUUGUGCGGCCGUGCGGCUCGGCGAGCUAUUUUGUGCAGUUUCCUGGAUGCAUUUCAGGUGCUGCCUGCCUAUGAUGAAAUUUGGUUCAGUUUACUUGUUUGUAUUUACUCAAACAUCAUGUAGUUCACCGAAACUCUUUGUUGUUCUCAUGUUAAAACAAUGGGGGUUCACUUUGUAA